rnacentral:rRNA from 1 species
GCGUGAGUGAUGAAGGUUUUAGGAUCGUAAAGCUCUGUCAGAGGGGAAGAAACUAUUGUCGUAUAAUACAUGGCAGUACUGACGGUACCCUCAAAGGAAGCACCGGCUAACUCCGUGCCAGCAGCCGCGGUAAUACGGAGGGUGCAAGCGUUGUUCGGAAUUAUUGGGCGUAAAGAGCAUGUAGGCGGUUGUUUAAGUCUGGUGUGAAAGCCCGGGGCUCAACCCCGGAAGUGCAUUGGAUACUGGGCAACUUGAGUACGGGAGAGGAAAGUGGAAUUCCGAGUGUAGGGGUGAAAUCCGUAGAUAUUCGGAGGAACACCAGUGGCGAAGGCGGCUUUCUGGACCGAUACUGACGCUGAGAUGCGAAAGCGUGGGGAGCAAACAGGAUUAGAUACCCUGGUAGUCCACGCCGUAAACGAUGGGUACUAGGUGUCGCGGGUAUUGACCCCUGCGGUGCCGCACUAACGCAUUAAGUACCCCGCCUGGGGAGUACGGCCGCAAGGCU